UACGUAGGGUCCGAGCGUUGUCCGGAGUUACUGGGCGUAAAGGGCGCGCAGGCGGCGGUGCUGGCCCGGCGUGAAAGCCCCCGGCUCAACCGGGGAGGGUCGUCGGGGACCGCACCGCUUGAGGGCGGUAGGGGCCGGUGGAAUGCCUGGUGUAGUGGUGAAAUGCGUAGAGAUCAGGCAGAACACCUGGGGCGAAGGCGGCCGGGCUGGGCCGUCCCUGACGCUGAGGCGCGAAGGCGUGGGGAGCGAACGGG
rnacentral:rRNA from 1 species